CAGGGUGUAGCGCAGUUGGUAGCGCAUCUGCUUUGGGAGCAGGGGGUCAUAGGUUCAAGUCCUGUCACCUUGA
rnacentral:tRNA from 1 species